CCAUAGCCCUGAUAGAAGCGGUAUCCUUUUUAUUUUUUUUCAAAAUAAAAAGAUACAAGUGUAAAGCAGGAAACAGC
rnacentral:sRNA from 1 species